rnacentral:rRNA from 1 species
UGCCAGUAGUCAUAUGGUUGUCUCAAAGAUUAAGCCAUGCAUGUCUAAGUAUAAACAAAUCUAUACGUGAAACUGCGAAUGGCUCAUUAUAUCAGUUAUAGUUUAUUUGAUGGUUCUUGCUACUUGGAUAACCGUAGUAAUUCUAGAGCUAAUACAUGCGUCAAACCCCGACUUCUGGGAGGGGUGUAUUUAUUAGAUGGAAACCAAUGCGGGGCAACCCGGUAUAUGGUGAUUCAUAAUAACUUUCGGAUCGAUCUUCGGAUCGAUGCAUCAUUCAAGUUUCUGCCCUAUCAGCUUUGGAUGGUAGGGUAUUGGCCUACCAUGGCUUUAACGGGUAACGGAGAAUUAGGGUUCGAUUCCGGAGAGGGAGCCUGAGAA